rnacentral:rRNA from 1 species
UACGUAGGCAGCAAGCGUUGUUCGGAGUUACUGGGCGUAAAGGGUGCGUAGGCGGCCUUAUAAGUAUGGUGUGAAAUCUCCCGGCUUAACUGGGAGGGUGCGCUAUAGACUGUGGGGCUAGAGUGUGGGAGAGGAAAGUGGAAUUCCUGGUGUAGCGGUGAAAUGCGUAGAUAUCAGGAGGAACACCGGUGGUGUAAACGGCCUUCUGGACCAUAACUGACGCUGAGGCACGAAAGCGUGGGUAGCAAACAGG